UACGUAGGGAGCUAGCGUUGUCCGGAAUCAUUGGGCGUAAAGCGCGUGUAGGCGGUCCGGUAAGUCCGCUGUGAAAGUCGGGGGCUCAACCCUCGGAUGCCGGUGGAUACUGUCGGGCUUGAGUACGGAAGAGGCGAGUGGAAUUCCUGGUGUAGCGGUGAAAUGCGCAGAUAUCAGGAGGAACACCGGUGGCGAAGGCGCCACUCUGGGCCGAAACUGACGCUGAGGAGCGAAAGCGUGGGUAGCAAACAGG
rnacentral:rRNA from 1 species